rnacentral:rRNA from 1 species
AUCUGCGUACGAUGGAUUACUCGUCUUGCGCGUCAGUGAAGAUCGCAGCCAACUGUGUGAUUAAGUGUGAAAUGCAGGCCGUUUAGUAGAUUGACACCUAUAACGCAUGAUCGGGUCGUAAACUUACCGGCGACCACGUUUAUGAAGGCGUUA